rnacentral:rRNA from 1 species
UACGUAGGGUGCGAGCGUUAAUCGGAUUUACUGGGCGUAAAGCGUGCGCAGGCGGCCCGUUAAGACAGGUGUGAAAUCCCUGGGCUCAACCUAGGAAUUGCGCUUGUGACUGGCGGGCUCGAGUACGGUAGAGGGGGGUGGAAUUCCUGGUGUAGCAGUGAAAUGCGUAGAUAUCGGGAGGAAGGCCGGUGGCGAAGGCGGCCUCCUGGGCCUGCACUGACGCUGAGGCGCGAAAGCGUGGGGAGUAAACAGG